rnacentral:rRNA from 1 species
UAGGGAAUCUUCCACAAUGGACGCAAGUCUGAUGGAGCAACGCCGCGUGAGUGAAGAAGGUUUUCGGAUCGUAAAGCUCUGUUGUUGGUGAAGAAGGAUAGAGGCAGUAACUGGUCUUUAUUUGACGGUAAUCAACCAGAAAGUCACGGCUAACUACGUGCCAGCAGCCGCGGUAAUACGUAGGUGGCAAGCGUUGUCCGGAUUUAUUGGGCGUAAAGCGAGCGCAGGCGGAAUGAUAAGUCUGAUGUGAAAGCCCACGGCUCAACCGUGGAACUGCAUCGGAAACUGUCAUUCUUGAGUGCAGAAGAGGAGAGUGGAAUUCCAUGUGUAGCGGUGGAAUGCGUAGAUAUAUGGAAGAACACUAGUGGCGAAGGCGGCUCUCUGGUCUGCAACUGACGCUGAGGCUCGAAAGCAUGGGUAGCGAACAGG